GAUGAACGCUGGCGGCGUGCUUAACACAUGCAAGUCGAACGAUGAAGCCCAGCUUGCUGGGUGGAUUAGUGGCGAACGGGUGAGUAACACGUGAGUAACCUGCCCUUAACUCUGGGGUAAGCCUGGGAAACUGGGUCUAAUACCGGAUAGGAGCGCCUACCGCAUGGUGGGUGUUGGAAAGAUUUAUCGGUUUUGGAUGGACUCGCGGCCUAUCAGCUUGUUGGUGGGGUAAUGGCUCACCAAGGCGACGACGGGUAGCCGGCCUGAGAGGGUGACCGGCCACACUGGGACUGAGACACGGCACAGACUCACACGGGAGGCAGCAGUGGGGAAUAUUGCAAAAUGGGCGAAAGCCUGAUGCAGCGACGCCGCGUGAGGGAUGACGGCCUUCGGGUUGUACACCUCUUUCAGUAGGGAGGAAGCGAAAGUGACGGUACCUGCAGAAGAAGCACCGGCUAACUACGUG
rnacentral:rRNA from 1 species